AUCGCUUCUCAGCCUGUUGGCUAAGACCAAGUGUAGUAUCUGUUCUUAUCAGUUUAAUAAGUGUAAAAUUAGUCCUACAAAUGUUAGCCUUAUUUAUAUUACUUUACAAAGUCCACAUUAC
ensembl:snRNA U2 U2 spliceosomal RNA